UACGUAGGGUGCAAGCGUUGUCCGGAAUUAUUGGGCGUAAAGAGCUCGUAGGCGGCUUGUCGCGUCGGCUGUGAAAACUCGGGGCUCAACCCCGAGCCUGCAGUCGAUACGGGCAGGCUAGAGUCCGGCAGGGGAGACUGGAAUUCCUGGUGUAGCGGUGAAAUGCGCAGAUAUCAGGAGGAACACCGGUGGCGAAGGCGGGUCCCUGGGCCGGAACUGACGCUAAGGAGCGAAAGCGUGGGGAGCGAACAGG
rnacentral:rRNA from 1 species